GUCGAACGAGAAAGCCCCGGCUUGCCGGGGUGAGUAAAGUGGCGCACGGGUGAGUAACACGUGGAUAACCUACCCUUCAGUGGGGAAUAACUCCGGGAAACUGGAGAUAAUACCGCAUAACAUUCGGCGACUGCGGUCGCUGAAUUGAAACCCGGAAACGGGGCUGAUGGAGGGGUCCGCGGCCGAUUAGCUAGUUGGUGAGGUAAUGGCUCCACCAAGGCGAGGAUCGGUAGCCGGCCUGAGAGGGCGGACGGCCACACUGGAACUGAAACACGGUCCAGACUCCUACGGGAGGCAGCAGUGGGGAAUUUUGCGCAAUGGGGGCAACCCUGACGCAGCAACGCCGCGUGGACGAUGAAGCCCCUUGGGGUGUAAAGUCCUUUCGGCAGGGACGAAGCCCGAGCAAUCGGGCGGACGGUACCUGAAGAAGAAGCCCCGGCUAACUCCGUGCCAGCAGCCGCGGUAAUACGGGGGGGGCAAGCGUUGUUCGGAAUUAUUGGGCGUAAAGGGCGUGUAGGCGGUGUGGCAAGUCUGGUGUGAAAUCUCCCGGCUCAACCGGGAGCCUGCAUCAGAAACUGCUGUGCUAGAGUGUGGGA
rnacentral:rRNA from 1 species